rnacentral:rRNA from 1 species
CCUACGGGAGGCAGCAGUGGGGAAUAUUGCACAAUGGGGGAAACCCUGAUGCAGCGACGCCGCGUGAGUGAAGAAGUAUUUCGGUAUGUAAAGCUCUAUCAGCAGGGAAGAAAAUGACGGUACCUGAUUAAGAAGCCCCGGCUAACUACGUGCCAGCAGCCGCGGUAAUACGUAGGGGGCAAGCGUUAUCCGGAUUUACUGGGUGUAAAGGUAGCGGAGACGGCAGCACAAGUCUGGAGUGAAAUGCCGGGGCUUAACCCCGGAACUGCGUUGGAAACUGUGCAGCUGGAGUGCAGGAGAGGUAAGUGGAAUUCCUAGUGUAGCGGUGAAAUGCGUAGAUAUUAGGAGGAACACCAGUGGCGAAGGCGGCUUCCUGGACUGUAACUGACGUUGAGGCUCGAAAGCGUGGGGAGCAAACAGGAUUAGAUACCCGGGUAGUC